UUGGGUUUAUUUAUUUCUUUUUGUUCUAGAGCUUUUAGGUGUGCUGUCAAGCUGCUGACAUAUGCUCUCUCCUGUUUCUUUUUGCAGGCAAUCAGAGCUAUGAGUUUUCCUUUUAGUACUACUUUCACUGUGUCCCAUAAGUUUGGGAAUGUCAUACCUUCAUUUUUAUUAAAUUGUAAGAAGUCUUUAAUUUCUUUCUCUAUUUCUUCCUUGACCAGGUUAUCAUUGAGUAGAGCAUUGUUC
rnacentral:lncRNA from 1 species